rnacentral:rRNA from 1 species
GACGAACGCUGGCGGCGUGCUUAACACAUGCAAGUCGAACGGAAAGGCCCUGCUUUUGUGGGGUGCUCGAGUGGCGAACGGGUGAGUAACACGUGAGUAACCUGCCCUUGACUUUGGGAUAACUUCAGGAAACUGGGGCUCAUACCGGAUAGGAGCUCCUGCUGCAUGGUGGGGGUCGGAAAGUUUCGGCGGUUGGGGAUGGACUCGCGGCUUAUCAGCUUGUUGGUGGGGUAGUGGCUUACCAAGGCUUUGACGGGUAGCCGGCCUGAGAGGGUGACCGGCGACAUUGGGACUGAGAUACGGACCAGACUCCUACGGUAGGCAGCAGUGGGGAAUAUUGCACAAUGGGCGGAAGCCUGAUGCAGCAACGCCGCGUGCGUGAUGACGGCCUUCGGGUGGUAAACCGCUUUCGCCUGUGACGAAGCGUGAGUGACGGUAAUGGGUAAAGAAGCACCGGCUAACUACGUG